GCCUUGGUAGCUUAAACUUAAAGCAAAGCAUUGAAGCUGCUUAGAUGAUCUUAUCCCAAAGCA
rnacentral:tRNA from 1 species